AACGCACCUUGCGCUCCCUGGUAUUCCGGGGAGCAUGCCUGUUCGAGUGUCGUAAACUUCUCAAUCCUAACUGGUUUUUGCGAACUGUGUUAGGAUUGGAUUUGGGCUUUGCUGCGUCAAAUGCAGCUGGCCUUAAAAGGAUUAGCUGAAUCUUGUCUAAUUGAAGACUGGUUUGACUCGGCGUGAUAAUUAUCUGACCGCUGAGGACAUCGCAAGAUGGCCAGACUUUGGGACUGAGAGUCGCUUCUAAUCGUCGUUUAUUCGACAGAUUUUUCAACCUUUGACCUCGAAUCAGGUAGGACUACCCGCUGAACUUAA
rnacentral:misc_RNA from 1 species